CCUCUACUGACUUCAGUAAGCCCCG
rnacentral:piRNA from 1 species